UUAAGCGACUAAGCGUACACGGUGGAUGCCCUGGCAGUCAGAGGCGAUGAAGGACGUGCUAAUCUGCGAUAAGCGUCGGUAAGGUGAUAUGAACCGUUAUAACCGGCGAUUUCCGAAUGGGGAAACCCAGUGUGUUUCGACACACUAUCAUUAACUGAAUCCAUAGGUUAAUGAGGCGAACCGGGGGAACUGAAACAUCUAAGUACCCCGAGGAAAAGAAAUCAACCGAGAUUCCCCCAGUAGCGGCGAGCGAACGGGGAGCAGCCCAGAGCCUGAAUCAGUGUGUGUGUUAGUGGAAGCGUCUGGAAAGGCGCGCGAUACAGGGUGACAGCCCCGUACACAAAAAUGCACAUGCUGUGAGCUCGAUGAGUAGGGCGGGACACGUGGUAUCCUGUCUGAAUAUGGGGGGACCAUCCUCCAAGGCUAAAUACUCCUGACUGACCGAUAGUGAACCAGUACCGUGAGGGAAAGGCGAAAAGAACCCCGGCGAGGGAGUGAAAAGAACCUGAAACCGUGUACGUACAAGCAGUGGGAGCACGCUUAGGCGUGUGACUGCGUACCUUUGUAUAAUGGGUCAGCGACUUAUAUUCUGUAGCAAGGUUAACCGAAUAGGGGAGCCGAAGGAAACCGAGUCUUAACUGGGCGUUAAGUUGCAGGGUAUAGACCCGAAACCCGGUGAUUCAGCCAUGGGCAGGUUGAAGGUUGGGUAACACUAACUGGAGGACCGAACCGACUAAUGUUGAAAAAUUAGCGGAUGACUUGUGGCUGGGGGUGAAAGGCCAAUCAAACCGGGAGAUAGCUGGUUCUCCCCGAAAGCUAUUUAGGUAGCGCCUCGUGAAUUCAUCUCCGGGGGUAGAGCACUGUUUCGGCAAGGGGGUCAUCCCGACUUACCAACCCGAUGCAAACUGCGAAUACCGGAGAAUGUUAUCACGGGAGACACACGGCGGGUGCUAACGUCCGUCGUGAAGAGGGAAACAACCCAGACCGCCAGCUAAGGUCCCAAAGUCAUGGUUAAGUGGGAAACGAUGUGGGAAGGCCCAGACAGCCAGGAUGUUGGCUUAGAAGCAGCCAUCAUUUAAAGAAAGCGUAAUAGCUCACUGGUCGAGUCGGCCUGCGCGGAAGAUGUAACGGGGCUAAACCAUGCACCGAAGCUGCGGCAGCGACACUAUGUGUUGUUGGGUAGGGGAGCGUUCUGUAAGCCUGUGAAGGUGUGCUGUGAGGCAUGCUGGAGGUAUCAGAAGUGCGAAUGCUGACAUAAGUAACGAUAAAGCGGGUGAAAAGCCCGCUCGCCGGAAGACCAAGGGUUCCUGUCCAACGUUAAUCGGGGCAGGGUGAGUCGACCCCUAAGGCGAGGCCGAAAGGCGUAGUCGAUGGGAAACAGGUUAAUAUUCCUGUACUUGGUGUUACUGCGAAGGGGGGACGGAGAAGGCUAUGUUGGCCGGGCGACGGUUGUCCCGGUUUAAGCGUGUAGGCUGGUUUUCCAGGCAAAUCCGGAAAAUCAAGGCUGAGGCGUGAUGACGAGGCACUACGGUGCUGAAGCAACAAAUGCCCUGCUUCCAGGAAAAGCCUCUAAGCAUCAGGUAACAUCAAAUCGUACCCCAAACCGACACAGGUGGUCAGGUAGAGAAUACCAAGGCGCUUGAGAGAACUCGGGUGAAGGAACUAGGCAAAAUGGUGCCGUAACUUCGGGAGAAGGCACGCUGAUAUGUAGGUGAAGUCCCUCGCGGAUGGAGCUGAAAUCAGUCGAAGAUACCAGCUGGCUGCAACUGUUUAUUAAAAACACAGCACUGUGCAAACACGAAAGUGGACGUAUACGGUGUGACGCCUGCCCGGUGCCGGAAGGUUAAUUGAUGGGGUUAGCCGCAAGGCGAAGCUCUUGAUCGAAGCCCCGGUAAACGGCGGCCGUAACUAUAACGGUCCUAAGGUAGCGAAAUUCCUUGUCGGGUAAGUUCCGACCUGCACGAAUGGCGUAAUGAUGGCCAGGCUGUCUCCACCCGAGACUCAGUGAAAUUGAACUCGCUGUGAAGAUGCAGUGUACCCGCGGCAAGACGGAAAGACCCCGUGAACCUUUACUAUAGCUUGACACUGAACAUUGAGCCUUGAUGUGUAGGAUAGGUGGGAGGCUUUGAAGUGUGGACGCCAGUCUGCAUGGAGCCGACCUUGAAAUACCACCCUUUAAUGUUUGAUGUUCUAACGUUGACCCGUAAUCCGGGUUGCGGACAGUGUCUGGUGGGUAGUUUGACUGGGGCGGUCUCCUCCUAAAGAGUAACGGAGGAGCACGAAGGUUGGCUAAUCCUUGGUCGGACAUCAGGAGGUUAGUGCAAUGGCAUAAGCCAGCUUGACUGCGAGCGUGACGGCGCGAGCAGGUGCGAAAGCAGGUCAUAGUGAUCCGGUGGUUCUGAAUGGAAGGGCCAUCGCUCAACGGAUAAAAGGUACUCCGGGGAUAACAGGCUGAUACCGCCCAAGAGUUCAUAUCGACGGCGGUGUUUGGCACCUCGAUGUCGGCUCAUCACAUCCUGGGGCUGAAGUAGGUCCCAAGGGUAUGGCUGUUCGCCAUUUAAAGUGGUACGCGAGCUGGGUUUAGAACGUCGUGAGACAGUUCGGUCCCUAUCUGCCGUGGGCGCUGGAGAACUGAGGGGGGCUGCUCCUAGUACGAGAGGACCGGAGUGGACGCAUCACUGGUGUUCGGGUUGUCAUGCCAAUGGCACUGCCCGGUAGCUAAAUGCGGAAGAGAUAAGUGCUGAAAGCAUCUAAGCACGAAACUUGCCCCGAGAUGAGUUCUCCCUGACUCCUUGAGAGUCCUGAAGGAACGUUGAAGACGACGACGUUGAUAGGCCGGGUGUGUAAGCGCAGCGAUGCGUUGAGCUAACCGGUACUAAUGAACCGUGAGGCUUAACCU
rnacentral:rRNA from 1 species